rnacentral:lncRNA from 1 species
CCAGGCAUUGGGAAGGGAGAACUCUAUCUAUACUACCUACGCAAUUAGGAGAUUGGAAUCCAAGAACGGUGGGACAAGCAAGUCAUCUUUUUUUAUCACCGAAAAGCAAAGAAGGUAUGUGAGCUGGUCCCCUGUUUGUCUAUGCAAAUGCCUCCUGCCCCAAGUUGAUCGAGGAGCCUAAGCAUAUAGGUGCGUUGGAAUGAAAGAGGAGGGUGAAGCGGGGCAAGGAACAACUCUCUAUGGAAAUGGCGACCUUUAACAACCUGGAAGCUUUGAACUAUGAACCACGUCUCAACAACCAGAAGUUGAAGUUGGUAGCCGUCUUAUUGAAUUGAUCUACUUUGUCUAAGCUAAAGGCUUUCUUUAAUUAGUUACUAAUCGGAUUGGAUAGUUCCCCUUCAACAACUUGUAACAAUGAACAAAGGUUUGUUACGGCUAGUAAGAAUAGAAAGCUUUUUGCUCUUCUUCAAGUGAUCUAUCCGAGAAACAAAGGACCGAACCAACC